UACAGAGGGGGCAAGCGUUGUUCGGAAUUACUGGGCGUAAAGGGCGCGUAGGCGGCCUUCUAAGUCGAACGUGAAAUCCCUGGGCUCAACCCAGGAACUGCGUCCGAUACUGGAUGGCUUGAAUCUCAAAGAGGGUUGCGGAAUUCCCGGUGUAGAGGUGAAAUUCGUAGAUAUCGGGAGGAACACCAGUGGCGAAGGCGGCAACCUGGUUGAUGAUUGACGCUGAGGUGCGAAAGCGUGGGGAGCAAACAGG
rnacentral:rRNA from 1 species